rnacentral:sRNA from 1 species
CCAGACCUUCGGCUUUGAGAUCCAGACUUAUGGCCUUCACCACCGGGAGGAGCAGCGUGUGGAAAUGGUGACCUUUGUCUGCCGAGUUCAUGAGUCUAGCCCUGCCCAGCUGGCUGGGCUCACACCAGGUGGGGCCUGAGCCCAGGACACCCAGGUCUGGGAAGGGGAUAUGACCUUACUCCCAAGCAAAGGGGGUGAGCAAUCUCUCCUGAAAUCAAUUCCUCUUCCUUUUCCUUCUUUGAGAAGGCCAGAAAGAAGAAUGGAUAGAAUCUGGGCUUUGGAUCUAGGCAAAUUUUCCAUGUACUGUGUGAUCUUGCACAGCCCCAUCUACAAAAUGA